rnacentral:rRNA from 1 species
GAUGAACGCUGGCGGCGUGCCUAAUACAUGCAAGUCGAGCGAACAGACGAGGAGCUUGCUCCUCUGCCGUUAGCGGCGGACGGGUGAGUAACACGUGGAUCACCUACCUAUAAGACUGGGAUAACUUCGGGAAACCGGUGCUAAUACCGGAUAAUAUAUUGAACCGCAUGGUUCAGUAGUGAAAGACGGUUUUGCUGUCACUUAUAGAUGGAUCCGCGUCGGAUUAGCUAGUUGGUAAGGUAACGGCCUACCAAGGCAACGAUGCGUAGCCGACCUGAGAGGGUGAUCGGCCACACUGGAACUGAGACACGGUCCAGACUCCUACGGGAGGCAGCAGUAGGGAAUCUUCCGCAAUGGGCGAAAGCCUGACGGAGCAACGCCGCGUGAGUGAUGAAGGUCUUCGGAUCGUAAAACUCUGUUAUUAGGAAAGAACAAAAGUGUAAGUAACUAUGCACGUCUUGACGGUACCUAAUCAGAAAGCCACGGCUAACUACGUG